rnacentral:rRNA from 1 species
UGGGGAAUUUUGGACAAUGGGCGAAAGCCUGAUCCAGCAAUGCCGCGUGUGUGAAGAAGGCCUUCGGGUUGUAAAGCACUUUUGUCCGGAAAGAAAUCCUCUGGGUUAAUACCUCGGGGGGAUGACGGUACCGGAAGAAUAAGCACCGGCUAACUACGUGCCAGCAGCCGCGGUAAUACGUAGGGUGCAAGCGUUAAUCGGAAUUACUGGGCGUAAAGCGUGCGCAGGCGGUUUUGUAAGACGGAUGUGAAAUCCCCGGGCUUAACCUGGGAACUGCAUUCGUGACUGCAAGGCUAGAGUAUGGCAGAGGGGGGUAGAAUUCCACGUGUAGCAGUGAAAUGCGUAGAGAUGUGGAGGAAUACCGAUGGCGAAGGCAGCCCCCUGGGCCAAUACUGACGCUCAUGCACGAAAGCGUGGGGAGCAAACAGGAUUAGAUACCCUGGUAGUCCACGCCCUAAAACGAUGUCAACUAGUUGUUGGGGAUUCAUUUCCUUAGUAACGUAGCUAACGCGUGAAGUUGACCGCCUGGGGAGUACGGCCGCAAGAUUAAAACUUAAAUGAAUUGACGGGGUCAUAGCUGUUUCCU